rnacentral:lncRNA from 1 species
CUCCAAAGCCACAGAACCCCGCCCCCCCAAAUAAAAUAAAUAAGCUGUAUGUUUCAACAUGUUCCUUUAUAGUGUUUUUAAAAUUUCCAUGUUCUUUCAAAUGGAGUGGAGAAAAGAAACAAUUAACAGACUUCAGGCAUUAUGCAUGAAAGGAAAUGCUCUGGCGAACCCCUGACUCUGUUUUCAUCCACUUGUUAGAAGGAUCAAACCCAUGCCUCAUUCAAGUCUUCAGGGUACUCGGAG